ensembl:lncRNA
CAGGUCACAGGCAGACAUUUUCCUCAAUUCUCACUCGAAAGCAUCAACACCCCAAAGAGAAGCCAUGAAGCCAGUGAUCGUGCUGUACGUUGCGCUGAUGAUGAUUGCACUGGUGUGCAAUGCUUAUGCUGCAUGUGAGAAUGGAUGGUGUACCAAGAGAUGUGGUCGUAAUGAAUAUAGAGACCGCAAUUCAUACUGUGGGGGUGGAAAUAUAUGCUGUGUUGAAAAAGGCAAUUGAAGAACAUCCGUGAAGGAAGACUGUGUGGAUCAACCAACAUGCAUUGUUGUUUUUUUUCUUCUUCCAUUUAAGUUGACACAAGACAUGGAGUAAUCAUGAUUUGUGUUUAAGCCUGUUUGAUGCCAGUUUGAAUAAAAUUAAAUUUCAUAACUAUGAGUA